UCGUUGCAUGAUCUUUAUGUUCUAGGAGCUAGCGCUGGAGUGUUUGUUGUGUUCCUCACUGCUGAGUGGAAAGGACAAGAUCUGCUUCAGUAUGUUCCUAUUUACAACAGGAAAUACUUCGAGGAGAAGGAGAGAGAUAUGUAGAUUUUCUUCGAAUUAAUAUUUAUGUAGUUUAUUCUAGUAGUUAAAUAAUACCUGCGCUUUUUCAUCACUUUGAAAUGUCAUGUCUGUCAUUAAAUAUUAAAUAAAUAUAUUUAAAUAUGCAUUGCCCAAUUUUAUGUUCAGCUUUCAGAGGAAAAUGGUUUUAAACCCCACAGCUGAUGUUGACGGACCAGAUGCGAUGUUUGAACCGAGCGCGGAGUUUAUGCGCGUACCUGUUGUCGAUGUGCACAAAGGAAAUCUUGCUGCGCACCUGGAGGAAAUGAAGAAAGCUAUUUCUAGUGCUUCAUUCAUUGCUCUUGACUGUGAAUUAAGUGGACUCGGUGACAGAAAGAAAUUAAACUCCCCAAGUAUUGACGACAGAUACAAGAACACAGGACUAGUUGCAAGAACAAGAUCAAUCAUAUCUCUGGGUAUCUCUACAUUCACAUUACACAACCCUGCUCCUGGUUCAUCAGAGAAUAGUGCUCAGGGUUCACCGGAGGGUACAGAGAAGUCAUGGAAUUACAGGGUGAAUUCAUUUAAUAUUAUGGUUCUUUGUGCAGAGGAUUAUAUUGUAGAACCUGGCUCCCUUAGGUUCCUUGUAGAGCAUGGGUUUGAGUUUGAGAAACAAUAUUCUCUUGGUGUACCGUAUACACGUGGAAAUGAUAGGGAGGGUGAGGAAGAUCAGACCUUAAGAGAACUUUUCUCUCACAUAGUAAAGUCAAGAAAGGCAGUUGUACUUCACAAUGGUUUGAUAGACCUGGUUUUCAUUUAUCAUAAUCUUUAUGCUGCUCUUCCUGAUAAAUUAGGAACCUUUAUAUCUGACCUAUCUGAGAUGUUUCCUGGUGGUAUAUACGACACCAAGUACAUUGCCGAGUUCGUGUCCAGGGCCCAGGCCAGCUUUCUGGAGUUCGUCUUUAGAAAAGAGCAGGUUGUGAACGUGUCUAAGUAUAGGGCGGGAAGACCCCAUGUCAAGGUUGGGUUUGAGAAUACGGAGAUGAAGGAUGUGGAUUGGAGACAUUGUGGAGAGGAGAAGGUCAGCUCAGGUGAAACAGUCUGCUUCAGCUACGCCCACCACGGGCACUGCCCGCUUGGUAACUCUUGUGUCAACAGUCACGAUAUUGAUCAUAUUAUCAAGAAUCGAGGCGAAGAGAAGAUGAAGAAGCAGAAGAAACGAAAGAACCCUGAGGACGAGAACGCUGAGAACACCAUCGAACCGGUUAGUGACGCCGCCGGUGAUGCCAUUGAGACACAAAUAACGUCGCCGCCUAACUCUGGCGGCCAUCGCGCCGGUUAUGACGCUUUUAUGACCGGAUUCGCGUUCUCCACGUUCUUAGUUCAUCAGACACAGAUCCCGCGUAACCCUGGAGACUUCUGCCCGGUCAGCAUACGCUCAGAACAGCUGGUCAACAGAAUAUACCUCACUUGCAAGGAUUUCCCGAUGUUGGUUCAGAAAUCUGCUUUCUCCAAGUGCUCGUCUGAGCACGCAGAUAAAAUGAAGAGACUCGGAAUACAAUAAUUCCCACCAAUCAUACUAGAACUAAGGAGAGAGGAUAAUUUUUGUUUAUAUUUUUACUAACCGGUGUUCCACGAAACAUGACAGUUGCGAGAUGCUAUCUAGACUAUCAUGUUUCGUGGGACACCCUAUAUGGCAUGAACAUUGUACCGUGUACAUGCAGGGUUGGCCACAAAGGAUACGACUUCAGGAGACGACAGUACACUCUCUUUCCUUCCAUCUAUGGUUCCCCGUAAAAGAUUAUAUUUAACCCACGUAUCUGAUAGUUUAAGAUUCAUACUUUCUGGGUUACCCCGUAUCAGCACAGCCCCAGGAACUGGUUGUAUUGUAAACAAACAAAUGGUCCAUCAAGACUCGACCUGUUUGUUUACAAUCUUUGUUAAUGUUUGCAAUUAAACCUGUUCUUGGUACGCUUGAAAUGUAAAGAAACCCAUUCUAAAUUAUAGAUAACUCCCAUUUUUUACUCCGCAUUUAUUUUUUCAUCUGAAAUUUUCAAUAUUUUCCAUAUUUCUCAAUGUUAUGUGUCUUAUAUGUCUUAAUUCUCCAAUUUAUUUUUCAGUUAAUGCUUUUUGUUAAUAGUCGGUUAAAGACGAUAUUAUUUUUUAACAAGAUGAAAAUACAUUCAUUGAAAGAAAA